rnacentral:rRNA from 1 species
GAAUCUUGGAAUGAACCUUCGGGGGAAUGAAGAGAUGGAGAGCGGCGGACGGGUGAGUAACGCGUAGGCAACCUGCCCUUUGCAGAGGGAUAGCCACUGGAAACGGUGAUUAAAACCUCAUAAUGCUAAGAUGUCACAUGGCAAUUUAGUCAAAGAUUCAUCGGCAAAGGAUGGGCCUGCGUCUGAUUAGAUAGUUGGUGAGGUAACGGCUCACCAAGUCAACGAUCAGUAGCCGACCUGAGAGGGUAAUCGGCCACAUUGGAACUGAGACACGGUCCAAACUCCUACGGGAGGCAGCAGUGGGGAAUAUUGCACAAUGGGGGAAACCCUGAUGCAGCAACGCCGCGUGAAGGAAGAAGGCCUUUGGGUCGUAAACUUCUGUCCUAAGGGAAGAUAAUGACGGUACCUUUGGAGGAAGCCCCGGCUAACUACGUGCCAGCAGCCGCGGUAAUACGUAGGGGGCGAGCGCUAUCCGGAAUUAUUGGGCGUAAAGAGUGCGUAGGCGGUUUUUUAAGCGCGGGGUGAAAGGCAGUGGCUUAACCA